rnacentral:misc_RNA from 1 species
GAGAGAGAGAGAGAGAGAGAACCUACCUGUUGCAACAUCAACCUAGCUAAUUGGAUAAAAACAUGAUUUAAACUGAGAAUGAUUUUAGCCCUUUGCCGCCCUCACCAUGUUGGUAAAGUAAAAAUUUGAGGCAAAGAGAUUUCUCAGACACUAAAAGGGGAAAAAAUCACUGUUUAUGCAGAUAAAUUGGAUCAAAAUUUCCAAAUAAAUUUAAGCCAUAAAAGAAUGAUUUAUUUGUUUCUAAUAAGUCUCGCAAUAGAGUGAAGUGUAUAUUGAAAGAAAAAGAAGUAAUGGUAGUGAAGGAAAAGAAUAGUGCGGGAGGGUUGCAACAAGUGCAGCUUUUAAUUGAUUCCUGAUGGAAGAUUCUUAAGGAUCUUCCUAGCCAAUGCCCUGUGUUCCUCUUGACAAUGCUAACUCCACCAAUACCACCAUUUUCCCAUGCAACCACUGCAUACAGUAUUGCCAUCCUCAAAUAGAUAUUUUUCAUCUGCAUUUAUGCAUUAUAUCUUUUAUUUGGCAGUCACAUGGGAGACUUUUGUGUUGGGACUUGGAAUUUACAGGAGAGAGAUGGCAACAGCAAUGAAUGUUUCGGUCUCUCUCUCUCUCUCAGUAUAUUUACUUAGUUUAGGCAUAGAGAAGUGAUUUUGUGGGAUCAUGAUAGGAGUAUUCAAUCUGGAGUGUUUAACAUUGAUUACUUGGAUUUUAGUGAAAUAGACUCUUCAGAUAUUAAGAUCUUGAGAGCAUGUUAUUGCUAAUGGCUACUUUUGAAUAAAUGUUAGAAUGAAUUGUAUUUAGUAGUAGACAAUAGAAUUUUACAAUUUGAUUUUCACACUUCAAAAGCUAAUUUUGCAAAAAGUUUUUGAGCUUUUGCAAAUCACUGUUGAAAUGCAUUGGUAAACUUUUCUAAGUGUUCAAAUUCUUUUCAUACGCAUUUGGUAGCUAUGUGCAAUAGCA